GAUCCUGGCUUAGGAUGAACGCUAGCUACAGGCUUAACACAUGCAAGUCGAGGGGCAGCAUGAUCGAAGCUUGCUUUGAUUGAUGGCGACCGGCGCACGGGUGAGUAACGCGUAUCCAACCUUCCCUAUAGUAGAGAAUAGCCCGGCGAAAGUCGGAUUAAUGCUCUAUGUUGUAUUUAGAGGACAUCUGAAGAAUACCAAAGGUUUACCGCUAUAGGAUGGGGAUGCGUCUGAUUAGGUAGUAGGCGGGGUAACGGCCCACCUAGCCGACGAUCAGUAGGGGUUCUGAGAGGAAGGUCCCCCACAUUGGAACUGAGACACGGUCCAAACUCCUACGGGAAGCAGCAGUGAGGAAUAUUGGUCAAUGGACGGAGGUCUGAACCAGCCAAAGUAGCGUGCAGGAUGACGGCCCUAUGGGUUGUAAACUGCUUUUAUAUAGGGAUAAAGUCGGGGACGUGUCCCCGUUUGUAGGUACUAUAUGAAUAAGGACCGGCUAAUUCCGUGCCAGCCGCCGC
rnacentral:rRNA from 1 species